rnacentral:rRNA from 1 species
UACGUAGGCAGCGAGCGUUGUUCGGAAUUACUGGGCGUAAAGCGUGCGCAGGCGGCUUCUCAAGUCAGGGGUGAAAGCCCAGAGCUCAACUCUGGAAUUGCCUUUGAGACUGAGUGGCUUGAGUACGAGAGAGGUGAGUGGAAUUCCCAGUGUAGAGGUGAAAUUCGUAGAUAUUGGGAAGAACACCGGUGGCGAAGGCGGCGACCUGGUCCAUUACUGACGCUGAGGCGCGAUAGCGUGGGGAGCAAACAGG